CAGUCGCCGCGGUAAUACGUAGGUGGCAAGCGUUGUCCGGAAUUAUUGGGCGUAAAGGGCUCGCAGGCGGUUUCCUAAGUCUGAUGUGAAAGCCCCCGGCUCAACCGGGGAGGGUCAUUGGAAACUGGGAAACUUGAGUGCAGAAGAGGAGAGUGGAAUUCCACGUGUAGCGGUGAAGUGCGUAGAGAUGUGGAGGAACACCAGUGGCGAAGGCGACUCUCUGGUCUGUAACUGACGCUGAGGAGCGAAAGCGUGGGGAGCGAACAGGAUUAGAUACCCGCGUAGUCCCUGUCUCUUAUAC
rnacentral:rRNA from 1 species